rnacentral:rRNA from 1 species
GCGGCCCAACCGGGGGACUGCCCUGGAAACUGUGCGGCUGGAGUGCAGGAGAGGUAAGCGGAAUUCCUGGUGUAGCGGUGAAAUGCGUAGAUAUCAGGAGGAACACCAGUGGCGAAGGCGGCUUACUGGACUGUAACUGACGUUGAGGCUCGAAAGCGUGGGGAGCAAACAGG